UACGGGGGGGGGUAGGCGUUGUUCGGAAUUACUGGGCGUAAAGGGCUCGUAGGCGGCCAACUAAGUCAGACGUGAAAUCCCUCAGCUUAACUGGGGAACUGCGUCUGAUACUGGAUGGCUUGGAUUUGGGAGAGGGAUGCGGAAUUCCAGGUGUAGCGGUGAAAUGCGUAGAUAUCUGGAGGAACACCGGUGGCGAAGGCGGCUUGCUGGGCCUUACCUGACGCUGAGGAGCGAAAGCGUGGGGAGCGAACAGG
rnacentral:rRNA from 1 species